CUGACUCGGACAGCAAGGAGUCUUUUGUCGAUGCUCAAGAUGGCCAUCAUGUUAGAAAUACGAUUUGAUCCUUUCCAGAUGGACUCGUUCGGGGGGAGUACAGUAGACCUGUUUACUUGUAGCGAAAUGGGCAACGGUUAUUGUCACCAGACAUCAUAGAAAUAUAGUGCCCAUUUUGGGCAAAGGACUUGCCUGUUGCAGAGGCAUGCUGUUCCAAUAAAGACUUCUUCUUAGAGCCAUCAUCUCAUGACGUGUUGAUGUUAAAAGAGACCCAUGACUACUGGAACCAAAUUUAGGGUCAACUCUACCUUACAGGGACAAAUUGUUGUGAUUUGAUUGUGUGAUUGAAGACAUGCAGAUCAUUCGUAUAGUGAAAGAUGAUUCUUGGGCAAUGGGCAUCCCCAUAAUGAUUGACUUUUAUUUCAAAACAUUCUUACCCUCUUUUAAUUAAAGGCAGUGCAAUCCUUCUGUUUAAUGACAUUUAACCAAGUGUGGUUAUAUCUAUUGAGAUAUUGUGACAUUUAGUACUAACAUGUGUUAUUUCGGUUUGUCAAUUUUUAAUGAGUUAUUGCCCUUUGUUUCAUUUAUAAGCGUGUCUAUCAUUAGGUUAGUUGUGUCGUGCUUUGAUAUACUCCGCUGUUUUAUAACAUAUUAACCUUUUGAAACUCUGCAAGAAAGCUUGCCUUUUUAUUGAUAUACAUAUGUCUGUCUUAACAGAAAACAUGGCAUGAGAUAAUAAUAAUACAUGAAUAUGAA